ensembl:lncRNA
GAGUCUGUACAUAGUCAAGACCAUGAUCACUGAGUCUGUACAUAGUCAAGACCAUGAUCAUUGAGUCUGUACAUAGUCAAGACCAUGAUCACUGAGUCUGUACAUAGUCAAGACCAUGAUCACUGAGUCUGUACAUAGUCAAGACCAUGAUCACUGAGUCUGUACAUAGUCAAGACCAUGAUCACUGAGUCUGUACAUAGUCAAGGUUGUGAUCACUGAGUCUGUACAUAGUCAAGGUUGUGAUCACUGAGUCUGUACAUAGUCAAGGUUGUGAUCACUGAGUCUGUACAUAGUCAAGGUUGUGAUCACUGAGUCUGUACAUAGUCAAGGUUGUGAUCACUGAGUCUGUACAUUGUCAAGGUUGUGUUCACUGAGUCUGUACAUUGUCAAGAUUGUGAUCACUGAGUCAGUACAUUGUCAAGGUUGUGAUCACUGAGUCAGUACAUUGUCAAGGUUGUGAUCACUGAGUCAGUACAUUGUCAAGGUUGUGAUCACUGAGUCUGUACAUAGUCAAGGUUGUGCUCACUGAGUCGGUACAAGGUCUGGUUUUCUUUCAUUUUGUCAGUACUCUCUGUUUAGGACCAAGAAAGCAUUGUAAUUAGUUGUGUUUUUUGGUUGUUUAUUUUAAAGAUUUGUCUGGGUCAUAUGGUGUUUCAGUCCUAGGGCUGUAUGGGGUCUGUUUGAAUUUGUGUGUUCACUAUCUCUCGUUCUCUCUAUUUCAGGCUGGUUUUCUCUCUUUCUCUUUGUCACCUCAUCUACACGCUUAGCACCAGUGUUACCACUCAGUCAAAAUCAACCCUCUGAUUAUUGACAUAAUCACUUUAUAUAAUCUGAUACAUUUACAAAAUAGUUGCAAUCCUCCUUUUUGUCCCUUAGGCUGACCUUUAGGCUGACCCUUUGGGUGACCUUUUUGCUGUCUCUUUGGCUGACCUUUUGGCUGACCCUUCAACUGACCUUUUGACUGACUUACAUUUAUGUGUGUGUGUGUGUGUGUGUGUAUAUAGAGUAUAUGUGUAUGUGUGUGUGUGUAUAUAGAGUAUAUAUGUGUGUGUAUAGAGUAUAUGUGUAUGUGUGUGUAUAUAUAGAGUAUAUGUGUGUGUUCUCUCCCAUCCCCUGGACAAUAGAAGUGCAUGUCAACCUACAUCAGGAUAAUUCAUAUCAGGAACAAACUAACGUCUGGAGACACAAAGGAAGAAAACUCUUGUCUUUGUCCUCCUCUCCUGUUCAUUCUUCUCUCUUUUCUCUUUUCAUCUCCCUCUUCUUAUUCAUCCAUCUCUUCUCCCCCUUUAUUCAUCCAUCUCUUCUCUCCCCUUUAUUCAUCCAUCUCUUCUCUCCCCUGUAUUCAUCCAUCUCUUCUCCCCCUUUAUUCAUCCAUCUCUUCUCCUCCUUUAUUCAUCCAUCUCUUCUCUCUCCUUUAUUCAUCCAUCUCUUCUCCCCCUUUAUUCAUCCACCUCUU